rnacentral:rRNA from 1 species
CCUACGGGGGGCUGCAGUGGGGAAUCUUGCGCAAUGGGCGAAAGCCUGACGCAGCGACACCGCGUGGGGGAUGAAGGCCUUCAGGUUGUAAACCCCUUUCGGCAGGGACGCGGUACCUGCAGAAGAAGCCUCGGCUAACUACGUGCCAGCAGCCGCGGUAACACGUAGGAGGCGAGCGUUGUCCGGAAUCAUUGGGCGUAAAGAGCGCGCAGGCGGCUUGGCAAGUCGGGUGUGAAAUCCCGGGGCUCAACCCCGUGACUGCAUCCGAUACUGUCAGGCUAGAGGUAGGUAGGGGAGAUCGGAAUUCCUGGUGUAGCGGUGAAAUGCGCAGAUAUCAGGAGGAACACCGGUGGCGAAGGCGGAUCUCUGGGCCUUCCUGACGCUCAGGCGCGAAAGCUAGGGGAGCGAACAGGAUUAGAUACCCUUGUAGUC